GUUUUAUAUAACUAUAAUUGUGCAGUGUGUACUCAAAUUUUUAAAAUAUGGCUUCUUUUACUUGGCAUAUUUAUUUUGAGAUCCAGCCAUGUCAUUAUGCAUACUAUAGGCAUUUUCUUUUUCUUUUUCCUUUUCUUUUUGACAUGUAUCUUCCCCCCACUACUCUACUGAGUUGAGAGCAGCCAGCCAAGCCCUGUGCUCCUGCAUGCCCAUGAACUCCAGAUGCCCCCAACAUCUCUUUCUUGAAGACUCUGAGCAACUCUGAAUCCUGGCUCAGCAUGGGCCUAGGGCAGCUGUAGUUGACCCAGCUCGCAACUGAUGCAUGGCAUCGAACAAGUUGAAACUUCUCCAGCACUGUUACUAUGGUUCAACGCACUGCUUCCCAGAUGUGUUUUCCUCCACCUUAUUCACUGGAUCUGGCACUGCAGGACCUGAGACUUCCCCAGAGUCAAAACUUCCCCAAAGUCCAAACGACUAUGAAAGGGAAACAUUUUGAAUCAAUUCAGGACGUUGAAGCAGCCAUGACAGCACAACUAAGGACACCCAUGAGAGAAGAUUUCCAGAACUGCUUCAGAGUGGCAACAAUGAUGGGAUAUGUGUGUUUGAAGUGGG
rnacentral:lncRNA from 1 species